CACGUAGGCGGAUAUUUAAGUCAGGGGUGAAAUCCCGGGGCUCAACCCCGGAACUGCCUUUGAUACUGGGUAUCUCGAGUCCGAGAGAGGUGAGUGGAAUUCCGAGUGUAGAGGUGAAAUUCGUAGAUAUUCGGAGGAACACCAGUGGCGAAGGCGGCUCACUGGCUCGGUACUGACGCUGAGGUGCGAAAGCGUGGGGAGCAAACA
rnacentral:rRNA from 1 species